rnacentral:rRNA from 1 species
UACAGAGGGUGCAAGCGUUAAUCGGAAUGACUGGGCGUAAAGGGUGAGUAGGUGGUUGGAUAAGUAAGUGGUGAAAUCCCUGGGCUUAACCUAGGAAUAGCUGCUUAGACUGUUUAGCUGGAGUACAGGAGAGGGUAGUAGAAUUCCCGGUGUAGCAGUGAAAUGCGUAGAGAUCGGGAGGAACACCAGUGGCGAAGGCGACUACCUGGCCUGUUCUUGACGCUGAGGCGCGAAAGCUAGGGGAGCAAACGGG